rnacentral:rRNA from 1 species
GACGGGGGAUGCAAGUGUUAUCCGGAAUCACUGGGCGUAAAGCGUCUGUAGGUGGUCCAAUAAGUCAACUGUUAAAUCUUGAGGCUCAACCUCAAAAUCGCAGUCGAAACUAUUAGACUAGAGUAUAGUAGGGGUAAAGGGAAUUUCCAGUGGAGCGGUGAAAUGCGUAGAGAUUGGAAAGAACACCGAUGGCGAAGGCACUUUACUGGGCUAUUACUGACACUCAGAGACGAAAGCUAGGGUAGCAAACAGG